GGGCGCGCGCGACAAGGCGCGCUCCCCGAGCGACGUGGGGCUGCGUGUGGGCGGGUUCCGGGGAGGGCUGCAGGACGUGGGUGCUGGCGCCCCUAAGCUCCAGGGGGACCCCCCGCCGCUGGGCUCCCCGACUGACGGCAGCCCCCGGCCACGGCCCUUCCCCCGCUGCAGACACACAUGCGACUGCGGCAAAGCGCGGUCUCCCAUGAGACAACCGACCCCACGCACCCGCCGAGGGUGGGGAUGUCUGAACAAGAAAGCCUUCGAUUUUGCCCUGUACCUAGCAGAAGAAUGCGGCGUGGAAUAGAAGUCAUGCGACCUCAUUUGAUUGGCGCCAGAGUGCUGAUUUCUGCCCACGGAAGCCUUGCGGGUUUUGAUUGGAUGGUUCCACACUUUGGAUUCGAGAGCCAAGGUCCCUCCCCAGGUUGUCGGUCUGUGUCCCAUGAGGCUUCCCUGUUGCUUGGUGAUGCGGACCGAGAAAAAGCUCUUCGAGAAGUUGAAACUGGCAGAUGCGCACCCACAGUUCAGAGUAAGAUCUCAAAGCCAAGUAAUAUGAAUUAAUAUAGUGGUUUUCAAACUUGUGCGUGCUCCAGAAUGACCUGGAGGGCUUAUUAAAACAUCCACAGCUUCCGAUUGUGUAGACCUGGAGGGAGGCCUUGCCAAUUAGCUCUUUGGGGGAUUUUAUCCAGGUGAGGCACUCAGGGACCCAAGUCUUUAAGGAUCGCUGGAGCCAUCGGGUUUCAAAUCCUCACAUGGGGACGACAGGUAUCCAACUGCUGAGUGCAUGGCUUACGGUAUCUGGGCUGGAAGAACUCUUAGUGUGAAGAAGGAAGCAAGGGCGGCCCCCUCAGCUAGGUUUUGCCCAAAAAAAGGAAAAAGAAAAGAGACAGGGAGAGGCGUGCUGCCUGGGCCAGGGUGCGGCUGUGAUAUUUUAAACACGGAAUCUGGUUGUGUCAUCCCAGGACCCCAGGGGAAUACUCUCGUGCAUUUUUUUUGCCUCCCAGUUCCCAUUACUUUUCUAUACUGGGCUGGGCUGAACAGAGCUGCGGGGCAAAACUCAGAAAUACCUGACAGCGCUUCUCCCUUCCCAGGCUCCGGGCCUUGAAACUGCACGUUAUCAGGCCUCAACUUCUCAGUGAAGGUUCUCAUUAUUGUAUCUAUAGAUCACGUCCUUUUUUCCCCCCACAUAGAGCGUCAUGUAGCCCAGGCUGGCCUGAAGUUUGAUAAAUAGGCCAAGGCUAAUAUUAAACUCCCUUGAACUCUGAUCCUCCUGCCUCCGACUGCCAAAUGCUGGACUUAACAGACGAAUACUACCACGCCUGACUAUAACAUGUCUUAAAGCCAACAAGUGCAUGAACAUUCUGUAUCUGGAUUCACCCUUAGUCUUUUGGGUCAGGAAACACACUAGGUAAAAAUACUACCGCUUUCACAACACUCUGUGUCCCAAACACAAGUUGUUCAGCACAUUAUGAGAGAGGAAGGAAUCCCACUGCUACUGACCCUUAAUUACCACGAACAUUCUAGUGGAGAAAAUUUGGAAGAUACAGGAGGUAAUUUGAAUUUGAAAUGACUACUAAGUAGUGGAAUUCUAUAUGAAUGUCAAUGAAAAAUAUGUACACUCAUUAAGGGGGCACCCGGAUUUGAACCGGGGACCUCUUGAUCUGCAGUCAAAUGCUCUACCACUGAGCUAUACCCCCUCUGCUGGUAGAGUGUUAGAAAAUUCUUUUUACAUGAGUUGUGUAC